rnacentral:lncRNA from 1 species
CAUUCUCUCUCUCUCUCUCUCUCUCUCUCUCUCUCUCUCUCUCUCUCUCUCUCUCUCUCUCUCUCUCUCUCUCUCUCUCUCUCUCCCUCUCUCUCUUCUCUUAUAAGAUUUGGUUUAGUCCUUCAAAACUUGAAACAUAAUUUUGUAUGUAUAAUAAGCAUACUUUAAACUAUAUUUAAGACGGAUAAAUAUCAUUAUCAUGAAAAGAAACAAAAUAUAAUAUCAUAUUUCUCAAUAUUAAUUAAAGUUUUAAGAAGAAUUAGAAAGAAAAAACAUAAUUUUUUUAAAGUCAUUAAUAAAAUAUGUAAAUAUUAAG